GGCCUGAUACAUAGCUCAGGGGUUAAGAGCACUAGACAUGUAAUCCAGACAUAGUGGUUGCUGGUUCAAAUCCAACUCAGGUCA